rnacentral:rRNA from 1 species
UGGGGAAUAUUGCACAAUGGGCGCAAGCCUGAUGCAGCCAUGCCGCGUGUAUGAAGAAGGCCUUCGGGUUGUAAAGUACUUUCAGCGGGGAGGAAGGGAGUAAAGUUAAUACCUUUGCUCAUUGACGUUACCCGCAGAAGAAGCACCGGCUAACUCCGUGCCAGCAGCCGCGGUAAUACGGAGGGUGCAAGCGUUAAUCGGAAUUACUGGGCGUAAAGCGCACGCAGGCGGUCUGUCAAGUCGGAUGUGAAAUCCCCGGGCUCAACCUGGGAACUGCAUUCGAAACUGGCAGGCUAGAGUCUUGUAGAGGGGGGUAGAAUUCCAGGUGUAGCGGUGAAAUGCGUAGAGAUCUGGAGGAAUACCGGUGGCGAAAGCGGCCCCCUGGACAAAGACUGACGCUCAGGUGCGAAAGCGUGGGGAGCAAACAGG